AGUGGACGCUGGCGGUAGGCCUAACACAUGCAAGUCGAACGGCAGCACAGUAAGAGCUUGCUCUUACGGGUGGCGAGUGGCGGACGGGUGAGGAAUACAUCGGAAUCUACUUUUUCGUGGGGGAUAACGUAGGGAAACUUACGCUAAUACCGCAUACGACCUACGGGUGAAAGCAGGGGAUCUUCGGACCUUGCGCGAUUGAAUGAGCCGAUGUCGGAUUAGCUAGUUGGCGGGGUAAAGGCCCACCAAGGCGACGAUCCGUAGCUGGUCUGAGAGGAUGAUCAGCCACACUGGAACUGAGACACGGUCCAGACUCCUACGGGAGGCAGCAGUGGGGAAUAUUGGACAAUGGGCGGAAGCCUGAUCCAGCCAUACCGCGUGGGUGAAGAAGGCCUUCGGGUUGUAAAGCCCUUUUGUUGGGAAAGAAAAGCAGCAGGUUAAUACCCCGCUGUUCUGACGGUACCCAAAGAAUAAGCACCGGCUAACUUCGUG
rnacentral:rRNA from 1 species